rnacentral:rRNA from 1 species
AUUGAACGCUGGCGGCAUGCUUUACACAUGCAAGUCGAACGGUAACAGGCCGCAAGGUGCUGACGAGUGGCGAACGGGUGAGUAAUGCACCGGAACGUGUCCAGGCGUGGGGGGUAACUACUCGAAAGAGGAGCGAAUAUCCCAUACGAGCUAUGGGGGAAAGCGGGGGGCCGCAAGGGCUCGCGCGAUUGGAGCGGCCGAUGUGAGAUUAGGUAGUGGGUGGGGUAAAGGCUCACCAAGCCAACGAUCUGCAGCUGAUCUGAGAGGAUGACCAGCCACACUGGAACUGAGACACGGCCCAGACUCCUACGGGAGGCAGCAGUGGGGAAUUUUGGACAAUGGGCGAAAGCCUGAUCCAGCAAUGCCGCGUGCGGGAAGAAGGCCUUCGGGUUGUAAACUGCUUUUGUACGGGAGGAAACGGAUCUGGUUAAUACCCGGCGGUAAUGACGGUACCGUAAGAAUAAGCACCGGCUAACUACGUG